AUUGAACGCUGGCGGCAUGCUUUACACAUGCAAGUCGAACGGUAACAGGCCGCAAGGUGCUGACGAGUGGCGAACGGGUGAGUAAUGUAUCGGAACGUGCCCAGUCGUGGGGGAUAACGCAGCGAAAGCUGUGCUAAUACCGCAUACGAUCUAUGGAUGAAAGCGGGGGACCGUAAGGCCUCGCGCGAUUGGAGCGGCCGAUAUCAGAUUAGGUAGUUUGUGGGGUAAAGGCUCACCAAGCCGACGAUCUGUAGCUGGUCUGAGAGGACGACCAGCCACACUGGGCCUGAGACACGGCCCAGACUCCUACGGGGGGCAGCAGUGGGGAAUUUUGGACAAUGGGCGCAAGCCUGAUCCAGCAAUGCCGCGUGCAGGACGAAGGCCUUCGGGUUGUAAACUGCUUUUGUACGGAGCGAAACGGCUCUCUCUGAUAAAGGGAGCUAAUGACGGUACCGUAAGAAUAAGCACCGGCUAACUACGUGCCAGCCGCCGCGGUAAAAC
rnacentral:rRNA from 1 species